rnacentral:rRNA from 1 species
UGGGGAAUAUUGGACAAUGGGCGCAAGCCUGAUCCAGCAAUGCCGCGUGUGUGAAGAAGGCCUUCGGGUUGUAAAGCACUUUAAGCAGGGAAGAAAAAACUCGGUCUAAUACAUCGAGCCUUGACGGUACCUGAAGAAUAAGCACCGGCUAACUCUGUGCCAGCAGCCGCGGUAAUACAGAGGGUGCUAGCGUUAAUCGGAUUUACUGGGCGUAAAGCGUGUGUAGGUGGUUGUUCAAGUCAGUUGUGAAAUCCCUGGGCUUAACCUGGGAACUGCUUCUGAGACUGAACGACUAGAGUACGGUAGAGGGUGGUGGAAUUUCCGGUGUAGCGGUGAAAUGCGUAGAUAUCGGAAGGAACAUCAAUGGCGAAGGCAGCCACCUGGGCCUGUACUGACACUGAGACACGAAAGCGUGGGGAUCAAACAGGAUUAGAUACCCUGGUAGUCCACGCCGUAAACGAUGAGAACUUGGCGUCGGUUUGCUCUGCAAGUCGGUGUCGUAGCUAACGCGAUAAGUUCUCCGCCUGGGGAGUACGGCCGCAAGGUUGAAACUCAAAUGAAUUGACGGGGUCAUAGCUGUUUCCUG